GACGAACGCUGGCGGCGUGCUUAACACAUGCAAGUCGAACGAAGUGGCGAACGGGUGAGUAACGCGUAAUCAACCUGCCCUUCAGAGGGGGACAACAGUUGGAAACGACUGAUAAUACCGCAUACUGAAGGAGGGGAUUGCGUCUGAUUGGCUAGUUGGAGGGGUAACGGCCCACCAAGGCGAGGAUCAGUAGCCGGGCGUGGAGGAUGAACGGCCAAAUGGGGACUGAGACACGGCCCAGACUCCUACGGGAUGCAGCAGUGGGGAAUCUUCCGAAAUUGACGAAAUUCUGAAGGAUCAACGCCGCGUGAGUGAUGACGGCCUGCGGGUUGGAAAGCUCUGUUAAUCGGGACGCGGUACCGGAAUAGAAAGCCACGGCUAACUACGUGCCAGCCACCGCGGUAAUAC
rnacentral:rRNA from 1 species